rnacentral:rRNA from 1 species
UACGUAGGGUGCAAGCGUUAAUCGGAAUUACUGGGCGUAAAGCGUGCACAGGCGGUGAUGUAAGACAGAUGUGAAAUCCCCGGGCUCAACUUGGGAACUGCAUUUGUGACUGCAUCGCUGGAGUGCGGCAGAGGGGGAUGGAAUUCCGCGUGUAGCAGUGAAAUGCGUAGAUAUGCGGAGGAACACCGAUGGCGAAGGCAAUCCCCUGGGCCUGCACUGACGCUCAUGCACGAAAGCGUGGGGAGCAAACAGG